rnacentral:tmRNA from 1 species
GGGGGCGACAGGCUUCGACAGAAGUCUGAACGCUCGAUAGGAUGCAUGCCGGGCUUACCACUUGCAGCUCGUAAAAAAGCAUGGGGAAACACAAUUGCCAAUACUAAUCAAUUGGCUCUCGCUGCCUAAUUCAGGCACCGAGCGUCUCGCCGUAAGUUGCUCAAGCGAGCGGAGUGAGAUGUCACCUUAGUUGAGCUGGCCUGCGCUUUCGGUCCGUGAGCGCAGGCGAGAUUAAAGUCGGGCUAGUCUUCAACAGAGGUCUUAGUCGUUUCACUUACUCUGUUGCGGGCGAAAUCUUUCAGAAAGAGAAGCGGCUAAGCAUGUAGAUUCCCUCGGGGUUGACUUUUGGAUCCGGGUUCGAUUCCCGGCGCCUCCACCA